rnacentral:lncRNA from 1 species
CUAACUUCAUCGACACAUAAUCUUCUGUAUUAUAUUAUCCCCUUCAUCUCCGUCCUUGGAUGGCGGCAGCAAGCGCACUACCACCUGAAAAUCACAGAGACAGUUCACACUAGGCAAAACUUCCAAACUUGAAUCUUAAACAAAAACUGUCACUGCACCACCGAAAUUAAGACAAAUAAUCCAAAACCCCCAUAAUCGCACCACAACACGUAAAGUACCUUCACACCCGAAUCAGACAAUCCAGAGAUGGAAUUCUCAGGAACGGUCUUCAUACCUCCCGCUUAAGUGGGUUAGAAGAGGGAGGCCCGCUUCCACCUAGCCGGCGAGGGUUUGGAAUCAGGAACCAUGGAGUCGGGAUCUGACGGUGAUGGUGGAACAAAAGGACUUUGGAAGACGAAUUGGGUUUCCGAGGGGUCUGCCGCUCUUGAUUCCGGCGCCGUUAGGGCUAGGAGAAGACGAUGGCGUGGAUCGGCGAGAUGGGACUCACAGAGAGCGAAAGAGAAUGGGAGAGGGAAGAGGAAGUAGAGAGAGUUACCGUUGGAAGAAGGAUGGGGA